GACGAACGCUGGCGGCGUGCUUAACACAUGCAAGUCGAACGGUGAAGCGAGUGCUUGCACUCGUGGAUCAGUGGCGAACGGGUGAGUAACACGUGAGUAACCUGCCCAUCACUCUGGGAUAAGCACUGGAAACGGUGUCUAAUACUGGAUACGACCAACCCUUGCAUGGGGUGUUGGUGGAAAGAUUUAUCGGUGAUGGAUGGACUCGCGGCCUAUCAGCUUGUUGGCGGGGUAAUGGCCCACCAAGGCGACGACAGGUAGCCGGCCUGAGAGGGUGACCGGCCACACUGGGACUGAGACACGGCCCAGACUCCUACGGGAGGCAGCAGUGGGGAAUAUUGCACAAUGGGCGAAAGCCUGAUGCAGCGACGCCGCGUGAGGGAUGACGGCCUUCGGGUUGUAAACCUCUUUCAGCAGGGAAGAAGCGAAAGUGACGGUACCUGCAGAAGAAGCACCGGCUAACUACGUG
rnacentral:rRNA from 1 species